rnacentral:lncRNA from 1 species
UUAAUCCUUUAACCAUAAUAAAUGGUGUAUCAAUACAUUGGUGAUUAUUACAUACAGAAGCAUUAGAUAAUUUAUAUUUGAUAAAUAAUCUACUGCCAUCUGCUGUGUUUAAUAUCUGAGUAGUUUUAUCAAAGUAUUUUGAAGGUACAAGUCCUUCAUUUAUACAAUUGAGAUCAGCUCCUGAAUCUAUAAGGGCUGAUGUUUCAAAACUAUAGUUUUUUGCAACAAUGAUUUUGACUUGGACAAACCAUUUUUGUACAAUUAUUUUAUUUAUCAUAUUAACUGAAG